rnacentral:rRNA from 1 species
UACGGGGGGAGCAAGCGUUGUUCGGAUUUACUGGGCGUAAAGGGCGCGUAGGCGGCCCCGCAAGUCAGUUGUGAAAUCUCUGGGCUUAACCCAGAAAGGUCAACUGAUACUGCGGGGCUAGAGUGCAGAAGGGGCAACUGGAAUUCUCGGUGUAGCGGUGAAAUGCGUAGAUAUCGAGAGGAACACCUGCGGCGAAGGCGGGUUGCUGGGCUGACACUGACGCUGAUGCGCGAAAGCUAGGGGAGCGAACGGG